rnacentral:rRNA from 1 species
GUCCGUAGGCGGUUUGGUAAAGUCAGUGGUGAAAGCCCAUCGCUUAACGAUGGAACGGCCAUUGAUACUGCCAGACUUGAAUUACUAGGAAGUAACUAGAAUAUGUAGUGUAGCGGUGAAAUGCUUAGAUAUUACAUGGAAUACCAAUUGCGAAGGCAGGUUACUACUAGUGGAUUGACGCUGAUGGACGAAAGCGUGGGUAGCGAACAGGAUUAGAUACCCUGGUAGUCCACGCCGUAAACGAUGGAUACUAGCUGUUCGGGGCAACCUGAGUGGCUAAGCGAAAGUGAUAAGUAUCCCACCUGGGGAGUACGUUCGCAAGAAUGAAACUCAAAGGAAUUGACGGGGGCCCGCACAAGCGGUGGAGCAUGUGGUUUAAUUCGAUGAUACGCGAGGAACCUUACCAAGGCUUAAAUGUAGAUUGACCGUUUUGGAAACAGAACUUUCGCAAGACAAUUUACAAGGUGCUGCAUGGUUGUCGUCAGCUCGUGCCGUGAGGUGUCAGGUUAAGUCCUAUAACGAGCGCAACCCCUGUUGUUAGUUGCCAUCGAGUCAAGUCGGGAACUCUAACAAGACUGCCAGUGUAAACUGUGAGGAAGGUGGGGAUGACGUCAAAUCAUCACGGCCCUUACGCCCUUGGGCUACACACGUGCUACAAUGGACGGUACAAGAGAGCAGC